UCUCUAAAGUUGAGAGUUUAGUAUUAUUUUAUUCUCCGUUGAGAAUAAAAUAAGUUUUUUUAUUUUCCUACCGUUACGCUGUCGGAUUCUGUUCUCAAGAUUUCUUUUUAAUUCAGGUUCUUAUUUUAUUUUAUGGUCUUAUUUAUUUCUUGUCUUUAUUUUAUUGCUUUUAUUUUAUGCUUUUAAUUUCUGCUUUUAUUUUUAUGUCUAUUUAUUUAUUUGCUUAUUUUAUUUUUAUGUCUUUAUUUUUAGUUAUGUCUAGCUAACUUUAGCGUUGCUAGGAUGUGUAGUUAGUAGCUAAUAGGGGUUCGGUAGUUAAUUCGCGCUUAAUAGUUUUCAACCACCAGUUUUAAAUAAAUACGUUAUCAAAUAAUUCGUCACGAGAGUGAGGAUUAUUUUAAAGGCAAUAAACCAACAUUGACGAGAGUUAAGCACCACCUUUAUAAUUUAUAAUACUAUCUGAAUUGUAUUUUUAAAAC
rnacentral:lncRNA from 1 species